CGAGACGUGACGGACCGCGGGUGUACUGAGGAGAAGGAGGAGAUGCGGGCUCCAUGAUGGUAGUGACCGGGUGUUUCUAAUUCACCUCGAGCCUCCAGCACCUGGAACCCUUCUUGGUACACCCCAGAUGUGAGUGUUGUUUAGAGGAUGGAUGGCUGAAAGGUGACGUUUGUAAAUGCAAAGUCUCUCAUUGUCCUAAUGCUGGUAACCAAUUACUAAACUAAAGUGGAAAUGCAUGAACUGAAUUCCAGCCCAUCAUUGUCUGCUACAGCCCAUGGUCUGCCAUAGGGACACCCAAGGCCACGAAACCCUGCUGGGCCAAACUCUCCUUUCUGGGCAGGUGAUUUGCUGCUCCCUCCCCUGGCCUUCACAAGCUGGGUCCUGCAGCACCAAGUUCUGCAGUCCUGUCCGUAAGGACCAGCCCACAAAGAGAAGGCUUUACUUCAAUCUUUUCAACAACUCCAGGGAGUUGAUCACACUGUGUGGAUGCAGCUUGCUCACAUGGCCAUCCCCUGACUGGCAGGUUUUCAGAUAAUUUCCAUAAAGUAAUCAUUUGGGACCAUUGGCCUUUGGGAGGAGCCUGAAUCAACUUGUAAAUGGCACAGCCAGGAUUUAGCCCAGAUAAAUCUGUCCUCAAAGACUUUCGGUUUCACUACUGCUGCAAAUUCUUCCAUUUAUUCAGAACGGAUAAAAAGAAGAAUGAUUGAGGUGGGAAAACUCAGUCACUGCCUAAACACCCAUUGCAUGGAGGUGAGGGGGUGAAACCCUAGAAGGAUAGGGUCCCAUGUCUGCUUGGAAAGACACAUGCCUUGCUCCAGCCCCUGGGAUUUCCUACUGACACUUACCAUCCAGAACUGGAGUUCGUUCCUAAUCAACUGGCAUCCAGUGAGAGCUGUUAUGCCUCCACCGAGACCCUCCUGCUUGGGUGAUGUUAUCACCCUCAUCUCACAGAAUAAAAUGUCAACAGAUCUCCAAGGACUGACGUGCAAAAAUCUUCAAAAUGCACUAUAGUGUGCGGGGAAGCAGGGGCGAACCACAGCCGCAGA